rnacentral:lncRNA from 8 species
UGCCGUUUCUUUACUCAUUUUAAUUGAUGUUUCAUUAUCAACCAUUGAAAAAUAUUUCAUCUUCAGUACUGUACUUUUUUUUUUUUUUUAAAUGUUUCACUUUCCAACACUUGGUCAUGUUGAUAGACACAGGGCAACAUACUGAGAAAUAAGAAGAUCUGAGCCACAGAGGAGCUGAAGCUGAAGAAAGAGUUCGAGGCUCUACGCGUGACUUCCUAAAAAUGAAUCAGCUGUUUUUCAACUCCAACGCAACGAUAGCACAAUAGCCCAGCCAGCAGACUCUCCCCACACACUGAAGUCAUGAGGACUGAUGGAAGAAGCUACAGAGGGACGUCGGACUAACCCCAAAAUAAGACCUCAACAAUGUCUGCAGGGUCAGACAGCCCGUUGGAGUUCCAUGCAGAUCUGCUACAAUCCCCACCUGCCUCCUUACCACAGAUCACACUACUACCAGACAUCCCUUAAAGGAAGUCAGAGAGUACUCCUCAGAUGUCCCCGGUUCCACAGAGGAUGUUGUGGGUUAAGAGGGAGACACCAACCCCUUCAAGACCUGUUGAGUUCCCUAAAGUCACAUCAGGUCUACAAGAUGGCUGGCUCACUGUCUGAGAGAAUCAGGGGUCUACAAGAUGGCCGACUCACUGAGAGAAUCAGGGGUCUACAAGAUGGCCGACUCACUGUCUGAGAGUGACAGACCGACAACAACAACUGCUCUAUUGCCUCUGCUCUCCCACAGAAGGUACUACUUGGAUUUAUUUGGUUGUCAUUGUUUAGUUCAGUUGGUGUUUUACCCUGAUCAACAACUUUAACUGUACUAUCAGUUUAGUAUUUGUUUUCGGUCAAAGGUGACUUAUGCAGAUGUAAUGACAGCUCGAGGAGAUGCCAUAGCUCCUUCUCAGAGACCAACAAGGGUGUAUUUACAAAAUAAAACCAUUCAAGGCCUUUCACUUGUAGCAACAUGGGCCCCAAAGC